rnacentral:rRNA from 1 species
GACGAACGCUGGCGGCGUGCCUAACACAUGCAAGUCGAACGAUGAAGCCGGAGCUUGCUCUGGUGGAUUAGUGGCGAACGGGUGAGUAACACGUGAGUAACCUGCCCUUGACUCUGGGAUAAGCGUUGGAAACGACGUCUAAUACCGGAUACGAGCUAGGACCGCAUGGUCACUAGCUGGAAAGAAUUUCGGUCAAGGAUGGACUCGCGGCCUAUCAGUUAGUUGGUGAGGUGACGGCUCACCAAGACGACGACGGGUAGCCGGCCUGAGAGGGUGACCGGCCACACUGGGACUGAGACACGGCCCAGACUCCUACGGGAGGCAGCAGUGGGGAAUAUUGCACAAUGGGCGCAAGCCUGAUGCAGCAACGCCGCGUGAGGGACGACGGCCUUCGGGUUGUAAACCUCUUUUAGCAGGGAAGAAGCGCAAGUGACGGUACCUGCAGAAAAAGCACCGGCUAACUACGUGCCAGCCGCCGCCGUAAGAC